UACAGGUGCUUUUCAAUGUUUUAUUCAGUGGUGCUAUUCCCAGAGACGUCAAGGUUUCACUAUAGUACAUGAAAAUACAUUAACAUAUGACAGUUCACUCUCUUUAAUUACAACCUAAGCGCAAUAUUUAGUUGUCACUUUUUUUUUUUUAAACCUGUAGUGAACUUGCGUUGUUGUUCUUGGGUAACGUUUUCUAUAAUUAUUGCACUGAUCGGUGUUAAUAUUUCAGGUAUUAUGACCUCAGCAAGAGGAAGGACAAGUGCACUGAAUUUGCAGUGAGAAACAAGCCUGCUGCAGGUUAGUAAGGAGCUCAGAUAUAAUCAGGUUCUCAUUACAGUUCCAUCUCCUCUUUGAAACAUUGUAUUUGCAUAUUAAGCAUACUUUGUUUCGUUGAAUUAGUUGUUAAAGGGAAACUGUCA